AGAGUUUGAUCCUGGCUCAGGACGAACGCUGGCGGUGUGCUUAACACAUGCAAGUCGAACGGUAAGGCCCUUUCGGGGGUACACGAGUGGCGAACGGGUGAGUAACACGUGAGUAACCUGCCCUCAUCUCUGGGAUAACAGUCGGAAACGGUUGCUAAUACUGGAUAUGAGCUUGCAAGGCAUCUUGUGGGUUGGAAAGAUAUUUUUUGGUUGGGGAUGGACUCGCGGCCUAUCAGCUUGUUGGUGAGGUAGUGGCUCACCAAGGCUUCGACGGGUAGCCGGCCUGAGAGGGCGACCGGCCACAUUGGGACUGAGAUACGGCCCAAACUCCUACGGGAGGCAGCAGUGGGGAAUAUUGCACAAUGGACGGAAGUCUGAUGCAGCAACGCCGCGUGCGGGAUGACGGCCUUCGGGUUGUAAACCGCUUUCAAUUGUGACGAAGCUUUUUGUGACGGUAGCAGUAGAAGAAGCACCGGCUAACUACGUGCCAGCAGCCGCGGUGAUACGUAGGGUGCGAGCGUUGUCCGGAUUUAUUGGGCGUAAAGAGCUUGUAGGCGGUUUGUCGCGUCGGGAGUGAAAACUUGGGGCUUAACCCUGAGCUUGCUUUCGAUACGGGCUGACUUGAGGGAGGUAGGGGAGAAUGGAAUUCCUGGUGGAGCGGUGGAAUGCGCAGAUAUCAGGAGGAACACCGGUGGCGAAGGCGGUUCUCUGGACCUUUCCUGACGCUGAGAAGCGAAAGCGUGGGGAGCGAACAGGCUUAGAUACCCUGGUAGUCCACGCCGUAAACGGUGGGUACUAGGUGUGGGGGACAUUCCACGUUCUCCGUGCCGUAGCUAACGCAUUAAGUACCCCGCCUGGGGAGUACGGCCGCAAGGCUAAAACUCAAAGGAAUUGACGGGGCCCCGCACAAGCGGCGGAGCAUGCGGAUUAAUUCGAUGCAACGCGAAGAACCUUACCUGGGUUUGACAUAUGCCGGAAGCGUUCAGAGAUGGGCGUGCCUUUUUGGUCGGUUUACAGGUGGUGCAUGGCUGUCGUCAGCUCGUGUCGUGAGAUGUUGGGUUAAGUCCC
rnacentral:rRNA from 1 species